UACGUAGGGGGCGAGCGUUGUCCGAAGUUACUGGGCGUAAAGCGCGCGUUAGGCGGUCAUUUAAGUUCGGGGUGAAAGGUUCAGCGCUCAACGCGAACAGUGCCUUGAAUACUGGGUGACUUGAGUUCGGGAGAGGGCAGUGGAAUUCCUGGUGUAGCGGUGAAAUGCGUAGAUAUCAGGAGGAACACCGAUGGCGAAGGCAGGUCUCUGGGCAUUAACUGACGCUGAGGAGCGAAAGCCAUGGGGAGCGAACAGG
rnacentral:rRNA from 1 species